AAAAAAUAAUAAUAUUAAUAAUUCAGUUGAAAUAUUCAAAUUCCCGUGGCGCCAGAUCCUGAUUAAAAACUCUGUCUCCCAGGAGAGUACCGGAAAACUGAUUAAUUCGAUUCAUCACAGCAAAAAUUAUGAUUUAGAGACCACUGGCGUUUGAUUUCACACACUGACCGACAUUUUUGUGGUCGCGUGGAAUGUCCAGGAGGAGGGGAGAGAGUAGAAAAUACUCAGACUGAAACAGUACCGCCGUCACGCUGAGGAUUAAAGAUCCUCAUCGUGGGAUCGACACUGCAGGAAGAAGAAAGAUGCCCGAAAUAAAAAAAGAAAAAAAAAUGAAGUAAAAAGAAAUUAGCAAGGCGCCAGGGAAAGUGUUGGUUUAACUCUUGAGAUGCCAAGACCAAAAGCGAAUUGGUGCCCCGCUGAGUAGUAUUAGCUGGGGUCCAGGGUGAAGGCUUCUUUUAAUCGCAUACUGCCUCGAGAUAAAUAUAUCUGAUAGUGGAAUUAUGAUGAGACGUUUUCUUUUAUAUCAUUAGAUUGGGUGAACGUUCCUAGAUUCAUGAUCGAUGUAAUUUCAUAUUUUAAUUAUUUAUUUUUCACCAAUGAAAAAUGACAGACUGAUUAAUUAUGGUGUGAAUGAGAAGAUGACAGGGCCACUGCAGCCGUUUUUCCGAGAUCAAUAUUGGAUGAUCUUCGGGCAAAAAAUCAUGAUUAAUUUAAAUUUAACAUCAACGACACAAUAAUAAUAUUAUUCACAAACUGAAAGCCAAAAGCCACUCGAUGAACAAAACGCACCUCAUCAUUCCGAACUCAAUUAACUUUCAUUGCCUCAAGUUCCCCGAAGAAUGAUUAUAAAAAACGCCAACUCUCCAGUUGAUUAUUUCUCGUCCAAUAGCGUCUCCGUUUUUUCUUUUUUUUUUUUUUCAAACAAGAAUAUACUGUUUCCCUAAAAAACGAUGAGGACACUCACUCGAUCCUGAAUACCUCGGGAGCAAAGAAACCCAAUGUGCGACUAUAUUUUUUUUUACGAUCACCAGAACCAAAUCGCCGUAACAUAAAGCCAGAGUCGAAUUCACCAUUGCCUGGUUAAAUUAAAACUCAUAAAAAUAUGGAAGAAGUAAUGCUCCCCCUGGGUUUUGUCAAGGAACUUUAACGGACAAAUGGCAUUGAAACUGAAGAUUGGAAAUGAGAGAAAUGAAAAACUCGCGGUGGGUAAUAAGUCAGUCUGCGUGAUCCUUUGAAUUGAUACUUUGGAGCACCUGCGGCUCUCUUAUACUCGGAAUUCGUCAUGUCGAGCGUGACUCGGAUGCUUCGACAACUUCCGGAGAUAUGGGAGGAAAAAGUUAUCUAAAAACUAACAAUAAAAACUUGAGCGACGAUUGAAUAUUUUCAAUGAUUAAUCACCCAGACAUUGAGUGACAUUGUGUAACCUAUGUGAAUGAUAAAAUCCACCGAUUGGAAAAUUUAAGUGCCAUUGAAAUGAUUGCCGCCAGCCGUCUGACCUCUCGCGUCUCGAAUCACUUGGCUGGUUCAAUUCACUUCUCCCUUCGAUGUUCGCCGACUUGGUCUCGUUCUCCUAAUGCGUUAACGACCGUGGCCUAGAGCCUUCCCGUCCGCUAAAAGCUGACAGGGUAAAUGACGACAACGAUGUCUCAAACGAGAGUUAUAGUCAAACAUUCACGGGAUGAACGGUGAAAAGGGACAGCAGGAAACACUGAACCCCCUUCACUGUCUUCGAUGUUGGUGAGGAUACAGCGGCCCAUGACGCGCUCCACUGACCUUUACGCUCGUAAUUACUAUUUUCAUUCGUGAAAUUUGCGAGCCACAGCUUCACCAAGCACUUUGUCUUUUUGAAAAAUUUAUUUCCCUCUGAAAAUGGUAAUUAUUUGCUUUCGAUUUUUCGCCUGGUCGUGUAUUUCAUGUGCUGAAUAAAUAUAAAUUACGAGAAAAAUGUACGGAACAGUAUGUCAUAUUCAUUCCAAUGGACAAUUAAUUAAUCAAUUGUCAUGGCGUCUCAAUAUAUGUCAGUAUAAUCGGAAUUUUGUCAUGGUUAUACCU